rnacentral:rRNA from 1 species
CUCCGGUUGAUCCUGCCCGACCCGACUGCUAUCAGAGUGAGAUUAAGCCAUGCGAGUUAACGUAGCAAUACGUGGCGCACGGCUCAGUAACACGUAGUCAACAUGCCCAGAGGACGUGGAUAACCUCGGGAAACUGAGUCUAAACCGCGAUAAGUGAGGAUUUCUGGAAUGGUUCCUGACUAAAAUCUAUAUGGCCUCUGGAUUGGACUGCGGCCGAUCAGGCUGUUGGUGAGGUAAUGGCCCACCAAACCUGUAACCGGUACGGGCUCUGAGAGGAGGAGCCCGGAGAUGGGCACUGAGACAAGGGCCCAGGCCCUAUGGGGCGCAGCAGGCGCGAAACCUCUGCAAUAGGCGAAAGCCUGACAGGGUUACUCUGAGUGAUUUCCGUUAAGGAGAUCUUUUGGCACCUCUAAAAAUGGUGCAGAAUAAGGGGUGGGCAAGUCUGGUGUCAGCCGCCGCGGUAAUACCAGCACCCCGAGUGGUCGGGACGUUUAUUGGGCCUAAAGCAUCCGUAGCCGGUUCUACAAGUCUUCCGUUAAAUCCACCUGCUUAACAGAUGGGCUGCGGAAGAUACUAUAGAGCUAGGAGGCGGGAGAGGCAAGCGGUACUCGAUGGGUAGGGGUAAAAUCCGUUGAUCCAUUGAAGACCACCAGUGGCGAAGGCGGCUUGCCAGAACGCGCUCGACGGUGAGGGAUGAAAGCUGGGGGAGCAAACCGGAUUAGAUACCCGGGUAGUCCCAGCUGUAAACGAUGCAGACUCGGUGAUGAGUUGGCUUAUUGCUAACUCAGUGCCGCAGGGAAGCCGUUAAGUUUGCCGCCUGGGGAGUACGGUCGCAAGACUGAAACUUAAAGGAAUUGGCGGGGGAGCA